rnacentral:rRNA from 1 species
UUGGAGGGCAAGUCUGGUGCCAGCAGCCGCGGUAAUUCCAGCUUCAAUAGCGUAUAUUAAAGUUGUUGCAGUUAAAAAGCUCGUAGUUGAAUUUUGGGAUCAGAGUGUCGGUCGUGCCUCGGUACGCACUGGUAUUAUUGGUUCCUACCUUCUGAAGAACCGCGAUGUCAUUAAUUUGGUGUCGUGGGGAAUCAGGACUGUUACUUUGAAAAAAUUAGAGUGUUUAAAGCAGGCUUACGCUUGAAUACAUUAGCAUGGAAUAAUGAAAUAGGACAUUUGAUUCUAUUUUGUUGGUUUCUAGAAUUGACGUAAUGAUUAAUAGGGAUAGUUGGGGGCAUUAGUAUUCAAUUGUUAGAGGUGAAAUUCUUGGAUUUAUUGAAGACUAACUACUGCGAAAGCAUUUGCCAAGGAUGUUUUCAUUAAUCAAGAACGAAAGUUAGGGGAUCGAAGACGAUCAGAUACCGUCGUAGUCUUAACCAUAAACUAUGCCGACUAGGGAUCGGAUGAUGUUAAUUUUUUAAUGACUCAUUCGGCGCCUUACGGGAAAC